GACGAACGCUGGCGGCGUGCUUAACACAUGCAAGUCGAACGGAAAGGCCCUGCUUUUGUGGGGUGCUCGAGUGGCGAACGGGUGAGUAACACGUGAGUAACCUGCCCUUGACUUUGGGAUAACUUCAGGAAACUGGGGCUAAUACCGGAUAGGAGCUCCUGCUGCAUGGUGGGGGUUGGAAAGUUUCGGCGGUUGGGGAUGGACUCGCGGCUUAUCAGCUUGUUGGUGGGGUAGUGGCUUACCAAGGCUUUGACGGGUAGCCGGCCUGAGAGGGUGACCGGCCAGAUUGGGACUGAGAUACGGCCCAGACGGCUGCGGGAGGCAGCAGUGGGGAAUAUGGCGCAGUGGGCGGAAGCGUGAUGCAGCAGCGCCGCGGGCGGGAUGACGGCCUUCGGGUUGUAAGCCGCUUUCGCCUGGGACGAAGCGUGAGUGACGGUAAUGGGUAAAGAAGCACCGGCUAACUACGUG
rnacentral:rRNA from 1 species